ensembl:snRNA U6 U6 spliceosomal RNA
GUGCUCGCUUUGGCAGCACAGAUACUAAAAUUGGAACGAUACAGAGAAAAUUAGCAUGGCCCCUGUGCAAGGAUGACACGCAAAUUCGUGAAGUAUUCCAUAUUUUU